rnacentral:rRNA from 1 species
GAGUCGUCUUUGUGAGUGAGUGGGUGUUAAUCCCAUCCGUGCAAGUAAAGAAAGCGGAGGCGAGAGACCGUCAGGGCGCAUCAUCGACCGAUCCUGAUGUUUUCGGAUGGAUUUGAGUAAGAGCAUAGGGGUUGGGACCCGAAAGAAGGUGAACUAUGCCUGUAUAGGGUGAAGCCAGAGGAAACUCUGGUGGAGGCUCGCAGCGGUUCUGACGUGCAAAUCGAUCGUCAAAU